AGGUGUACAAUAAACAAGGUCAAACAAGUUAAUUUGAAACGAUGAAAUGAGGUGAGAAGGAAUUACAGGAGAUUGCUGGGACAGAUUUAUUCACUGACUGGAUGAUGAUGUCAUUAACAAAUGCCCGCGCUGCAUUCUGGGCAAUUGACAUUACCAGCAGCACAAAUGGUCUUUGGACAGCAGAGAUUUCCUUUGCUCUCCUCCGUGGCCUUAUUAAUUGUGCUUCUGAGCACUUUGGAGCAGCUGGGGGAUCCCCACCACGAGUACGAAGCUUUUGCAGCCAGGGGUUUUAGGAAGAGGCAAAUGUGGCCCUUCGCUUUUGAUGCUGCGGGUGGGGCGUCGGAACGGGGCUGCUUCAGAACGCGCAGAGGGGCUAAGUUUGACAUUUGAUUCACCCUCUUCUCGGAUUUUAAACCGUGAUGUAAAUUAGUUUGAAUCUGUCCUUUCUUCCAUUUUCCCUUUUCAAAAUGUAAUACAGUUAAAUGACAGAGAUUAAUUACUGAAGUAAUUACUGUUGGGAAGCAAAGGGACAGUUGGAUAAGACGGCCUUUCUUGUGAUGACCAAGUCUUUCUUGACAAUUAUGCCUAAUUCCAACAAUGAUUAUUCCGUGUGGCAAAGUCGAGCAGCACAAGGGCAUGCGGGUGUCCGUGUGUCCUCACUCACAAGGAGCCAUUAGAACGAGGUAAUUAUGUUUGACUGGCUGCAGCAGCCCCCAUUCCCAGAGGACCACCUGGACUUCUGUCUGACAGGAGUGUGUAAGCCCCUCUGGCUACCACCUCCCCUUGUUUUCCACCUCACUGGUUGGCCUGGGCUAGCUCUGGGCUAACCCAGGACAGUGGAAACACAUGCAUGAAUUUUUCUGCUUGCUCUCAUGUACUCUCAUGUAUCCUGGAUCUAUGUAACAACUAAAGACGUCCCUGAAGAGGGGACCCAGAUGGAUCCUUCUGUACUCCCUGGUUCUGUCAGAUAUAUGGAGGAGGGUCACAGGAGGCACGUAAUAAAACUCUGGAAUUCUAAACACUCACACAUUUCCCCAUGAAUUAAUACUGGGCUGUCAUAAAGAAGCCAGGAGAUGAUCCCAAGGAAAAGGCUCUGGAAUAUUGACUAAAAUAAUUGGCUCGCAGAUUUCAUGAAGCCCCCCUUUUCACCUCUGACCCUCCUCAUGGCUGUCUUCUUUGUGGUUCCUUUCCAGGACAGGAUUACGACGUGCCGUUAACAUUAGCCUCAGCACAGUGUCUGGAUGAUCAGCCAUGCCUCUUGUAAAUGUCCCACAUAAACCCUGCAGGCCAUGGGCGGUCACCAUGUGAGAGACAGCAUGGCUCCAUCAGUUGGUUACUGCGGGAUUUCUGCAAAGUAUGGUUCAGAGGAUGUCAGGUCUGUUAGGACCCCUGGGCUGGGAGGGGAAAGGUAGAGGAGGGGUCAGUGACCAGCACAGGACAGAAAAGCAUCUUAAGCAAAUAUUGGAUUGUGAGCAUCGAAGAGAAACAACUCAAGAGGGCCUUCCAGCUGGCUCUAGCUGGCACCCGUUCAAUUCUUCCGGCCAUGAUGUGCCCACAAGAACGCCCCAGGAGAGAUGCUUCUGUAAGGGAGCAGCCACCAGCCACCUAAAUGAGGUCAACGGAAAGAAUGGAAAUAGUUGGAGCCUGGGGAUGACAUCAAACACUGGGUGGGUGAGGGGGAGAAAGGAGGUAUGUGGAGAGAGAGGCAGCCCAAGGGAGGCAGAGACAUGGAUGGGAGGAGUGACAGAAGGGCAGGACUUCAGGCUCUGCACCUCUUUCCGGGUGUUGUUGCCAGCCCUACUCCAACCCUGAGCCAUAAUCAACUUCCUUAAUGAAAUACGUAAUUAACAUAUUAUAAUUGUAGUAAAGAUGAUUUUGACAGAAAUCAUUUUCCAUAUCUAAUACUAUGCUAAUUUAAUCUGUUCCUUACUCCCCGACAUGACCUUUAAUGAUUAAGUUUCAUGGUGGAAUUUGUGUGUGUGUGUGUGUGUGUGUGUGUGUGUGUGUGUGUGUGUUUUGAUGGAUUGAUUUUUCCAGUGUAGUGUUUGAGACCCCUUUGUUGGCAUGCCUGUCAUUUUUCUCUCUCCUUAGAAAUCUCUCAGAGACAUGCAUGACCACACUCACUCAAAAGAAAAAUUUCAUGAAAAGAAGAUGUUAAUCUACUCUUCCCUGACGUGACCCAAGAAGCUGGCCAGUCAUAGACAUACUAAGUAAGGCAAUGGCCAGCAGGCCUUGUCAAGACAGCCUAUUUCUUCUAACUACCUGAGCUCUGACUUGAGUCAUGUCUGUGUUUGUGGCAUAUGUCAUUGCUAUAAUUAAAAUACAGCAAACCCAUCAAAGUAUUUGGUUAUCUAAGGUAUGACUAUAAGAUGGAAGUAUAAAUAAUGUCUUAAUUUUAACAAGAUGUUUUAAUCGUACACUACUCUUAGUUUUGUACCUUAUCAAUGUAAUUAUGUUAACUCAAAACAGCCUUACUGAAUCAUCUUAAUGAUCUAGCAGAUACACAUAUAAUUAAGGAGAAAUGGCUGAACUUCUUCCCUUCUUUUUGACAGCAUGAAAUCAGUUACUCGGAGGGAUCCAAAGAGUUUAAUGAGGAGUUGGAACACAUAAAAAAACACAGGCAAUGGUACUCCAGGCUGGUGUUUCUGUAAAUUUCACUUCAGCUUAUAAUAAGGAGAUAAUAUACUGUAUGACCCAAAAUACAGAUGUUGGAGUCAUUUCAACAUUCAGGACAUGUUCCAAGCGAUUUGCUUGUGUUUAAUCCCACCCCAUCCCAUGAAAAAAUAGUGGUUAAAGGCUAGGAGGCUGAGCCAAUCAUAGCAUGAGGAUCUGAGUUCAGAUCCCCAGCACAGGUCAAAAGCAUGUGAGGCAGAGCCUUGGACUCCUGAUGGACAGCUAGCCUGGUCAUCUUGUGGAUGAGUUCUAGGCGAAUGAGAGGUCAACUCAAAUAAAAGUGAGAGAUUCCUGCUCUUGUUUCAUUUCUGUUGCUGUAAUAAAACACUUUGACCAAAAGGAAUGCAAGCUGGAGGCAAGGGUUUGUUUUUCUUUGUUUGUUUGAUUGGUUGCUUUUUUAUUUAUUUUUUAUUCUUUUAUUUAUUCUUUUUUUAUAGUUUACAGGUCACAAUCCAUUAUCGAAGGAGGUCAGAAACAAUGGAGGAAUUCUGUUUUCUGGAGGGAUCUCAGGUUUCUGAUAAGUUAUCUUUCCUAUAUAGCCCAGGGCCAUCUAUCUGCAUCAGGGAAUGAAUGAUGUCUCCCACAGUGGGCACGGCCAUUAUUAUGAAGUAAUAAUCAAGACAAUCUCUCAUUUGGACCUCCCUUCUUCAGUUACUCUACACUGUGUGCCACGUUGACUGUUAAAACUGACUAGGGUGGUGUCUGAGGAAGGCUUCCGACCUCCACGGUCGCGCUCACAUACACGGACACUGCAUAGGAGUAUGCACAUACAUGCACACACAUACACACACACACACACACACACACACACACACACACACACACAUGGUGGUUGAGAUUGAGUGAAAUUUCACUAUUUAUCGCAAUUUUUUAACCAAAGAGUGUCAAUAACUGAAACAAUCAAGUUGUAUAGGUCUUUGGUUGUUGCAUUUAAGACCAGUCCUAUAUAACACACUCUGGCCUUGAACCCUCUAUACAGCCACAGAUGACUUUGAACUCUACCCUCCUGCCUCCUGCUCCCAAGUAGGGGAAUUUCAGGUGUGUGCUACCAUGUGUGAGUCUAUCAGUACGUGCUCUAGCUUUAAUGUAUGAUUUAUAGCCAAUUCCAUCAAUCACAAUUGAGUGUUAUGAUUUUAGCAUGCUUGGGUGUUUUGUUUUUUAUGUCAGGGGAAUGAGUAAGGAGAAUUUUCUAAAGACUCAAUCAAGGCUGAAAAAUAUAUACAUGGGAAUGGUAAAGUUCACAUAACAUUUUGUCCUCCUUUCUUCCUGUGGAAAAAAUGGGUAUGAGCUUAAAAGCUUGCAUUUGUCAUAGUUAAAAGAAAAUUAUUCCAGAAUAUUAAUAAAUUGGAUAUGCUUAAUAUCGAAAAGAGAAGCAUAUGGAAAUAUUAGAAGUCAACAAGAGCUUCUGGGCCAGCUUAGCUACGCCACGGCAUUGGAAGAAUUUGGAAAAGACGUUAAAUAGUUGCAGAAAAUUCUUAUUGCAUUGGUUAUUCCUUAUAUAAAUUAUACAGUAGGAACACCAAGUAAGAACAGACUGGCUGUAUGUGCUUAGGAUACACACUGUGAAAACGACCAACUUAAAUCCCUUUCUUAUGUUGAAAGUUGAUAUCCUCAAAAUAUUAAAAACAAUAUCAAGAGGACAUGGAUGUCUGAAUGUGACUUACUAUUAAAUACGUUUAUCAUUUUUGGUAAUUCUGGGAACUUGAACUCUUUGACUUUCAUGCAAAGAUUGUGAUGACAUGAGCAAAGAUGGUGGGAAUGGAUUUGAGAAGCACCUGGGAACCUAGAAAAAAAAAAAACCGCGCAUAUCUUUGGAACACAGACACUUUAGCCUAGUUGUACUCUAUAAAGUUUCACUGUGACCUUUUAUCCUACCAGG
rnacentral:lncRNA from 1 species